rnacentral:tRNA from 1 species
UAUAUUUUAGUAUUUGAUGUACAGUAUUUUUUGAUAAUUCUAGGGAUGGUUUAAUUCCAUCAAAUAUAA